CUAUGUGUAUUUUUCAAAAGGUCCACAGGAUCUUUAAAAAUAUUAUUUUCUUAACAAGAAAAAAGGAAAGUCUGCAAUAUCAGAUAGAUGGAAAACAAUGCAAGUAUUUCUCCAGGAGCAUAAGGGAAAUGAAGAGACCUGAACACAGCAUCUGGGAGAUGUUACCAAGGAUCAUCAUGGCAACGAGCAGGGCACAUGGGAUGGGCAUGAUCCACCCCUGAUGUCCCACUGGGCUCUAACCAUGUUCAGGAACUCCUCAUGGUGAUGUUUCUUCUGAGAGAACAUGGGAAAUGCAUGACAAUUGUGAGGAUCUUGCUUUCUGUACACAUGGCAAGCUAAAGUUAGAUUCUCGUUUCCUGGAUGACAGCUACAGAGAACAGAAAUGGAAUUCCAUCUUUGAACUAAGGAAGAAAUCUGUGUCAACCCAGCUGUUGACCUGCAUCUGUCAGAUUUCAUACCCUUUGAUUGUCAGUAGUGGAAGUGACAAAUCUGAAACAUCAAAAUAAUAUACAUGCCCAAAUUGAAAUGCAGACUCCUUGCCAGAUGUCUGAUAACAAUCUUCCCAAUUCAUUUGGUCCAAUGCUUUAAGCAUGUAACAAAUUACGUGAAACUUCAGUCUUUUGUCUGUGAAGACCACAAACUGCAUCUCACCACUACCAGAAAAUGGAAAUUGUAUGUGCCUGUGUGUGGUCUCUCCCAUAUUCAUCAAUUUCCUCUCUAUGGACCUGCUUUUUUUGAUUAGGUUUUCAUAUACAAACCAACUGCAAAGCACCAAUUUCAAUAAAAGGAAACCUUGUGUGUGGUAUUGGUAGUUUUACUACUUGAAGAAUAUUAACUUGUGAGCAAGGAUUUACCUGAAAUUCAGUUCCUGGACAUUUUCUAGAAAACUGUUUUAUUGAAAAAUCCUACCAUAUUGACAUUUUUAUGUCCGCUGUUCUCUCUGUCAAUGACUUUUUAGAAUCCUUGUGCUGCCUACUCCUCAGUCUUGGCUUUAGGAUCCAGAUUUAUUUCAAGAGCAAAA